GGGUCAGUAGGUUGGUCGUGCCACCGGUACGUACUGGUCUCACUGAUUCCUCCUUCCUGAAGAACCGUAAUGCCAUUAAUUUGGUGUGGCGGGGAAACAGGACUGUUACUUUGAAAAAAUUAGAGUGUUUAAAGCAAGCUAACGCUUGAAUACAUUAGCAUGGAAUAAUGAAAUAGGACGAUCGAUCCUAUUUUGUUGGUUUCUAGGAUUGACGUA
rnacentral:rRNA from 1 species